rnacentral:rRNA from 1 species
GAUCAUGGCUCAGGAUGAACGCUAGCUUCAGGCUUAACACAUGCAAGUCGAGGGGCAGCAUGAACUUAGCUUGCUAAGUUUGAUGGCGACCGGCGCACGGGUGAGUAACACGUAUCCAACCUGCCGAUGACUCGGGGAUAGCCUUUCGAAAGAAAGAUUAAUACCCGAUGGCAUAAUUCUUCCGCAUGGUAGAAUUAUUAAAGAAUUUCGGUCAUCGAUGGGGAUGCGUUCCAUUAGG